rnacentral:lncRNA from 1 species
CAAGAAACUUGAUGGGGAGUUUUAAAUUCUUAAAACAAAUUUUCGUAAGUUUAAUGUAUAGCUCCAAACACUUAGUGAAACAGUUUUUUAAAAUAAGUUAGAUAAAGCAUAGCAAAAGCAGGAUUUUAGUCCCUUGCAUAAUAUUCUAUAUUUAUAAAGUGAUGUUUUGAAGGAAUCCCAAAUUUAUGGGAAAGUAUUUUUGUACACAUUUGCAGUUUUAAGUCCAAGGAAUUGUUUUAACUUUGGAUUUGAAAAAUAGGUUUGUGCUUUGGCUGAAUGAUACGAUGGAUGUUGUUGGUAUUGUUACUGUUGGGUACACUGGGUCGUGGCUGACUCCUGGUUGACUGCAUGGGUGCCUCCAUGGGCCCCUCUUUGCAGGUUUCUUGGCAGAGAUACAGAAGUGGUUUGCCAUUGCCUACUUCUGAGGAGAGGCUGGGGAUCAAACCGGCGACCCUCUGCUUUCCAGGCAGAUUGCUCCACCACUGAGCUACAGACACUCCAGAGUCCAUGGGCAACUCUAUGCAGUUUUCUUGGCAGAGGUACAGAAGUAGUUUGCCACUGCCUACUUCCGAGGAGCGAGGAGCAGCUGGGGAUUGAACCGGCAACCCUCUGCUUUCCAAACAGAUUGCUCUACCGCGGAGCUGCAGCGGCUCCCUGUGACUUGCACACAAAACACUAAAUGAGCUGAAAGUGCACUUUAGUGAUGACCCUUCUCGCUGUGGUCAUCGUGUGUGCUGCAUUCAGAACUAAAACUAUGGGCUGGAAAGAAAAAGACUCACCUUUAGACCCUGGAACAAAUGUUGAAAGGCUGCAGCAGAUUAACUUACUAUGUUGCCUUUUCUUGUGCUGUUUCGGUGUAGAGCACUCCCAAGGAAAUACUUUUGCUUUUCUAUUUGUUUUGUACUGUUGGUGCCUUAGGGCCAUUUUGCACUGUCCAGUAAACCGGCUAGUGACGAAUUGCCCUUAGUCAUGUAUCCCAGACAUCCUGCACAGCUGAUUUUAGUUAAUGGUAAGUUCAAAAUGUAAGGCAAAAGCAGAAUUUUAUAAAGUUUUUUUUUUUCUGUAUGUUGUUACAUUAUUAUAGCAACUACAAAUUUAUAUGGCGUGACAGAGUUGUGAUUUGGUUAUUAUACUAUGUAUAGAAUAAUUGUAAGUAGAAAAUGUUUAUAUUUUGUCUUCUGUUGAUGUAAAACAUACACCAUUUUUUAAGAAAGAGAAGCAGUUAAACAUCUUGUUAGUAUAUGCUGUCUGAUUCUUGUAAAAACGAAUGUGAAGAAAUCAUUAAAUUGUGGUCAUGGAUUACAAAGUAGCAA